UACGUAGGAUGCAAGCGUUGUCCGGAAUUAUUGGGCGUAAAGAGCGCGCAGGCGGUCAUUCAAGUCAGAUGUGAAAUAUCCGGGCUUAACCUGGAGGGGUCAUUUGAAACUGGGUGACUAGAGUACAGCAGAGGAUAGCGGAAUUCCCGGUGUAGUGGUGAAAUGCGUAGAUAUCGGGAGGAAUACCGGUGGCGAAAGCGACUCUCUGGACGGCAACUGACGCUGAGGCACGAAAGCGUGGGGAGCAAACAGGGU
rnacentral:rRNA from 1 species